rnacentral:rRNA from 1 species
UACAGAGGUCUCGAGCGUUAGGCGGGAUCACUGGGCUUAAAGCGUGUGUAGGCGGGUCGUUAAGUGCCUUGUGAAAUCCCAUGGCUCAACCAUGGAACUGCUGGGCAUACUGGCGAUCUUGUGCAACCUAGGGGCGAGCGGAACAGAUGGUGGAGCGGUGAAAUGCGUAGAUAUCAUCUGGAACGCCAAUGGUGAAAACAGCUCGCUGGGGGUUUGCAGACGCUGAGACACGAAAGCCAGGGGAGCGAACGGG